UUAAGAAUCUUGCGCAAUGGGGGCAACCCUGACGCAGCGACGCCGCGUGGAUGAUGAAGGCCUUCGGGUUGUAAAGUCCGGUAAGCAGGGAAGAAUAAGCAACGGGAAAUAUUCGUUGUGAUGACGGUACCUGCCUAAAGCCCCGGCUAACUACGUGUCAGCAGCCGCGGUAAUACGUAUGGGGCAAGCGUUGUUCGGAAUUAUUGGGCGUAAAGGGCGUCUAGGCGGGGGAUUAAGUUAGAUGUGAAAGCUAUGGGCUCAACCCAUAAACUGCAUCUAAGACUGGUUCUCUUGAGUCCGGGAGAGGAGAGCGGAAUUCCAGGUGUAGCGGUGAAAUGCGUAGAUAUCUGGAAGAACACCAGUGGCGAAGGCGGCUCUCUGGCUUAGGACUGACGCUGAAGCGCGAAAGCGUGGGGAGCGAACA
rnacentral:rRNA from 1 species